GCCUGAAUUUUUAAUGCAAAAUAUAUAUGUUAAUAAAAUAUAUUGUUAUAUGAAAAAAAAAUAUAUAGCAAAAUAUUUAUUAUGAAUAAUUCAAAAAGUUGCAUUUUAAUAUAAAACUGGGAUGGAAUCCAUGUGCAAGGCAAAAUGAAUCUCUAAUAUUGCUGUAUACCACAAAGGGUAUAAAGGCACAAUUUUUCCAGUCUUGAAAUAAUCAGAUUUUUAUGGGUAAAAAAUGUGUAUUCUUUGAAGAAAAAAAACAUUUGUUGAAAAAUUCUAUGAAUUCCCUAGUUUAAGCAUUCAUACAAGAAUUACAGAACCCAUCUGCAAAUAACUAGUACAAAUGUAU
rnacentral:lncRNA from 1 species